rnacentral:rRNA from 1 species
GUAGGGCGGGACACGUGGUAUCCUGUCUGAAUAUGGGGGGACCAUCCUCCAAGGCUAAAUACUCCUGACUGACCGAUAGUGAACCAGUACCGUGAGGGAAAGGCGAAAAGAACCCCGGCGAGGGGAGUGAAAAAGAACCUGAAACCGUGUACGUACAAGCAGUGGGAGCACAGAGCAAUCUGUGUGACUGCGUACCUUUUGUAUAAUGGGUCAGCGACUUAUAUUCUGUAGCAAGGUUAACCGAAUAGGGGAGCCGAAGGGAAACCGAGUCUUAACUGGGCGUUAAGUUGCAGGGUAUAGACCCGAAACCCGGUGAUCUAGCCAUGGGCAGGUUGAAGGUUGGGUAACACUAACUGGAGGACCGAACCGACUAAUGUUGAAAAAUUAGCGGAUGACUUGUGGCUGGGGGUGAAAGGCCAAUCAAACCGGGAGAUAGCUGGUUCUCCCCGAAAGCUAUUUAGGUAGCGCCUCGUGAAUUCAUCUCCGGGGGUAGAGCACUGUUUCGGCAAGGGGGUCAUCCCGACUUACCAACCCGAUGCAAACUGCGAAUACCGGAGAAUGUUAUCACGGGAGACACACGGCGGGUGCUAACGUCCGUCGUGAAGAGGGAAACAACCCAGACCGCCAGCUAAGGUCCCAAAGUCAUGGUUAAGUGGGAAACGAUGUGGGAAGGCCCAGACAGCCAGGAUGUUGGCUUAGAAGCAGCCAUCAUUUAAAGAAAGCGUAAUAGCUCACUGGUCGAGUCGGCCUGCGCGGAAGAUGUAACGGGGCUAAACCAUGCAC